UACGUAGGCAGCGAGCGUUGUUCGGAGUUACUGGGCGUAAAGGGUGUGUAGGCGGUUUUCUAAGUUUGGUGUGAAAUUUCCCGGCUCAACCGGGAGGGUGCGCCGAAAACUGGGAGACUAGAGUGCGGGAUGGGAGAGUAGAAUUCCUGGUGUAGCGGUGAAAUGCGUAGAUAUCAGGAGGAAUACCGGUGGUGUAGACGGCUCUCUGGACCGCCACUGACGCUGAGACACGAAAGCGUGGGUAGCAAACAGG
rnacentral:rRNA from 1 species